UACGUAGGUGGCAAGCGUUGUCCGGAAUUAUUGGGCGUAAAGCGCGCGCAGGCGGUCCCUUAAGUCUGAUGUGAAAGCCCACGGCUCAACCGUGGAGGGUCAUUGGAAACUGGGGGACUUGAGUACAGAAGAGGAAAGCGGAAUUCCACGUGUAGCGGUGAAAUGCGUAGAGAUGUGGAGGAACACCAGUGGCGAAGGCGGCUUUCUGGUCUGUAACUGACGCUGAGGCGCGAAAGCGUGGGGGAGCAAACAGG
rnacentral:rRNA from 1 species